rnacentral:rRNA from 1 species
UUUAUUGAGAGUUUGAUCCUGGCUCAGGACGAACGCUGGCGGCGUGCCUAAUACAUGCAAGUCGAACGCUUUGAUUUUCACCGGAGCUUGCUCCACCGAAAAUCAAAGAGUGGCGGACGGGUGAGUAACACGUGGGCAACCUGCCCAACAGAGGGGGAUAACACUUGGAAACAGGUGCUAAUACCGCAUAAUUUGUUUUUCCGCAUGGAAGAAUAAUAAAAGACGCUUCGGUGUCACUGUUGGAUGGGCCCGCGCUGCAUUAGUUAGUUGGUGGGGUAACGGCCUACCAAGACCAUGAUGCAUAGCCGACCUGAGAGGGUGAUCGGCCACACUGGGACUGAGACACGGCCCAGACUCCUACGGGAGGCAGCAGUAGGGAAUCUUCGGCAAUGGACGAAAGUCUGACCGAGCAACGCCGCGUGAGUGAAGAAGGUUUUCGGAUCGUAAAACUCUGUUGUUAGAGAAGAACAAGUGAGAGAGUUACUGUUCUCACCUUGACGGUAUCUAACCAGAAAGCCACGGCUAACUACGUGCCAGCAGCCGCGGUAAUACGUAGGUGGCAAGCGUUGUCCGGAUUUAUUGGGCGUAAAGCGAGCGCAGGCGGUUUCUUAAGUCUGAUGUGAAAGCCCUCGGCUCAACCGAGGAAGGUCAUUGGAAACUGGG